rnacentral:rRNA from 1 species
CAGAUUGCAGGCUGCAACUCGCCUGCAUGAAGUCGGAAUUGCUAGUAAUCGCAGAUCAGCAUGCUGCGGUGAAUACGUUCCCGGGCCUUGUACACACCGCCCGUCACACCAUGGGAGUCGGUAACACCCGAAGUCGGUAGCCUAACCGUAAGGAGGGCGCCGCCGAAGGUGGGUUUGAUGACUGGGGUGAAGUCGUAACAAGGUAGC